ensembl:lncRNA
CCAGAAGCUAGGACACUACCAGGAAGAUCCUUUUGAGAGAUGUAUCAAGGGUCAUCUUCCAGAGGUGGAGUCCUAGCCCUGUGUGAGCUUAUUCACUCGCUGAUGUGGUAAAUAGUGACUGAGGGUUUGGUGCACACCAAGUAGAAUGCAAGGGCUGGAAAAUUAGCAGUGAGCAAUCAGAGGGCGCCGUUGCUCACAGGAACUUCUAAUCUAGUUCAAAGAGAGAAAAUAAGAACAUGAUAGGGUAUGGGAGGGCUUUAUUAAGCCAGUGUCCACAGGAUGAGAGAGGCAGUUCUGGCCAGUCUGAACCCCUUCCCUGUGAGGGAGUGGUCCUCCAGCAAAGAAAGCAGUGGCCAGCACUCUGAGGCAAGCAUAAACUUGGCAUUUGGGGGAACAGAAAGACCUUGUCAUCUGCAGCCCUCUGAGCUGGAAGCAGGUGGGAGGGGAGGCCCUUCAGGAAUCAGAAAUCCAUGCUAAGUGGGAAGUAGUGAAGCCCAGAGAGAAAGCUGAGAUGUGCACUGGUGGCAUGUUAAGAAAGCCCACCUAGACUGGCACUCUUCCAUGGAGUCCAGGCCCAGGGGUUGCAACAUGACCAGUGGGAUAAGAUGUGUACAGUGGCCUCGGGUUUCCAGGAAUUAGACACAGCUUGGAGUUCUAUGAAAAAUUCUGUAAACAGUUUGAAGUAACGAUCGAGUCACAGGACGUUGCAAGGAUGUGUGAAGGGAAACCUCCCGCACCUUCUCCUGGCUCCCCCUCCUCCCUGGGACUGGGUGACACCAGGCAGUGUCCAAACCACUGCUCAAGCACAAAGCGAUAGGCAACACGAUGCCAUUAAAGCUAAGAGUGACAACAACGAAGACGCCUCAGCUAAUGGAAGGAAGGAAAGGAGUACAAAUUACUUAGCAGAUCCUGGGAGUUUUCUGAGUCCAGCAUGGCCCAGCUGUCCUGGGAAGACUAUUUCCCUGUGCACCCGUAGGCACUCCAAGUCCUGUCUUUCCUGUCCUCCUCCCUCAUCUGUCUCUCCUGCACCCCACCAUCUUGACACUUUUAGAAAUGCACGGAAUGCCAAGCCAUCAGAGAUGACAGUGUGCUGAUAAGGUCCAGAAAGCUCUGCUCCUCCAAAGCAGGCGGUUAAAGACAAAGGUGACAUUUGGUUUAUCCAAAUAAUCCAGUUGUCUGACAGCUGUCUGCACUUCUGCUGAAGCAGGAGAGUCCCUUUCUGAGAGCCUCCAUAGGUGCCCACCUCGGUGUCAACCAUGUGGCAUGGGAUGAAGUGCUUGGACCUCGACAAUGAAGAAGAAAAGAUGGCAGAGUUUCAGACAAGCUGCCUCUGUCUGAGCCAUCUGGAAUUAGAACUCCCUUCCCAGUUGCCAGAGUUGCCAAGUGCGUGGGUCUGGGCUGCAUUAACAUCUGUGCUGAGUGAGUCUGGGCUGUGGGCAGAGGUUGCAGGUGUUCAGGAAAUGUGUCGCACAGUUGGUAAGGAAUGGUCAUCGUCGCUUUGGUUUUGUAACAAAGGCUAAGAACUGGAAUUCUAAAGCAGCCUGGGCCACAGAGAAGGCUAACCUGAGUGGGGCCAGGAAAGACCAACAUCUCAUCUGGGAGCAGCAAGGUGGCUGGCCUGAGGUGCCUGCUCCCAUUCCGGUCCUGGGGAACCCAGCACGGCUGAUCCUGCAGAACCAGGACCCUGACAGGUGACCCAGCGGCACAGGAGCCUGGCCGUGUGACUCCUGCAGGGUGAGGUGAGAUGCCCGCGUCUAAGAGCCACACAGGUGCCAGGGGAGGAAGGCAGUAAAGGACCCGGGUGUCAGGAAAGGAAGGCAGGAUCUGGUGGCAGCGCCCAGCCCAGGGAAGAACAGGCACCCGUUCUUCCUGACAUAGUCGGAGUCCCCAGAGCAGAUGGACGCAAUCUUGAGUGAGGAGCAGUUUUUUCCGGGUGGGUGGGGACAUUAGGGAACAGGGCGCAGAGCCGAAACCCCAUCUCAGAGGCAGUGUUGCUGCCUCUAGGCUCAAGGGACUGGGAGAAGGGAGUAGUUCUUAAAACCAGCAGAUAGAAGCUCACAGAGACAGGAACAGUGACAUUGGCUCAGGGAGCUGCGUCUGCUCCACACACGUAUGCAGCAGAGAGCCAGGAAGGUGGGGCGCUGACUUUGGCCCUCCUCCAGGCUCCAGCCAGGGCGCCCACUAGUGGGCACAAUGAGAACCUGCAGGGCCCGGAAAGCCCCUGAGAGACAGUCAGGGUGGCAGGCGAAUGAGCCAGCGGACAGCACGAUGUGCACCAGGCCCUGUGCUGAGCACUGGACACCCCAGACACAGAGCAGGCGUGACCUUGCCCUUACAAAGCUUGUGGGCAAGAGAGGAGGGCAGACGGCAAUCAAGUGAUUGUGGCUAAACAAAGUGCCAUGAAGCAGUUCUGGACCUGGAGUUAUUUCAGGAGCAGAGCCCCUAGGCUGGUCCUGGGAUCCAGAAAGGCACUUUUAAGGUCCAGGCCUUCAGGGGAGAAGAGAAUGCAGUCACUACAGGAAAAACAAGGAGAAGUAUCAAAGGCAAAUGGAGCAGCACAUUCCAAAGUGCUGGGGGCGCAACGGAGCAUGUUUCAAGUCAGAAAAGAGAAGGCGACUGAGAAACACGAUACAGAGCACAGGGACUGGGUCGCAAAAGAGACCUUUACCUGUGAGAUGAGACGCUCCGGAGAUCUGACGGCCGCUUAAGAGCCCUCACAGCUGCAUCAUGUGAAAGGGGAAACAGUUUGUUUCCGGUGCCUCACAGAAACAAAAUCUGCUUCAGGAUCAUCGGCCUACAAAACCGCUGUGUCUGACAUCUGCCUGGCCAUUCUUGCAUCAACUGCACAUGUGUGGGAGACUCCGUCCCCGGAUUCCUCAGGACAAAUGCUGUCUUCCCCUUCUACACUAUAAGCUUCACAAGGGCACACGUGCCUUGUGUCUGCCCACUGGUGUAAUCCCAACUUCUAGAACAAGGCCUCCUGUGUUGUAGACCUCACGGUUUUGUUGACUGAACAAAUAGUCAGAGUUUUGCAAAUUGUGAUUAUAAAACGCUUUAAUCAGAUCAGAAUGUGCUGAGUUUCCUAAUCUUGGGAGCAAAUAAGCAGACCAGCUGAUAGAGUUGAAUAUUAUGUAAAGAAAAAAGCUAGAUUAUUGAUUAAAAGACUCUUUGCAGUCCUUGAAGACCAAUGACAAAGAGCAGUUUUUGAAAAGCGGAGGAGGAGAUUGGCUGUCUAUACAGUCAUAUCUCCUUCCUCCCAAGAGGUAGCAACUCCACCUCCAGCAGGGUUAGGAAAACUGUCCUGUCUUCACUUGGUAACUGGAUAAAAGCCCCUGCCCAAGGCCCACAUCACUGGAAAACCAAUCUCUAGUCUGGCCCAUGUAGCACCGCCCAUGUUCUUGACUGAACGGCCAGUGGACAGAAGUCUGAAGGCUGAGCAUCCAGGUGCUCUGCGGGUCAGAACUGCUCUGCUCGGGGCCCCUGCUUGCUCACUCAUUCAUGCAUCCACUCUUUCAGCUCCACACUGGCUGAUACAGAGGUGAACAAAGUAGACACAGCUGUUGCCCUAAGGAAUGUUGCCUUCCAAGGGUGUGACAUGGAUGACAAACCAACAGUGUAUGACACAGGAAGGCUGGGAAAGUAAAGUGGGAGUAAAGUAACAGUGGGAGGGGAUUAGGUGGUGCUGAGGGGUCUGGUAUUCACCAGUGUGGCUGGAGAAGGCCUCCCUGGGAAAGGGGUCAUUUGAGCUAAGACCUGGGCAGGUACGUGGAAGCCAUGCAGACACGGGGAAAGGGCAUCCCAAGUAGAGGAGCAGCAAGUGCAAAGGCCCAGAGGUGACCAUAUGCCUGGCUUGUUCUAGGGAGAGCAAGGAGACCAGUAUGGCUGAAGCAGAGGACUGGGAGGACAUGAAGUUAGAGCAAAAGGAGGAAGAGAGAAUGUGACAGGCAAAUCUAACACCUGUGUGCAGCCCCAGUGCAACUCGCUUACUUGGGCCCUUGUAGAGAUACUGGGAAGAGUCUGAC